ACCUUCGUGGUGUAGUGGUGAGCACGCUCGACUCGUAUUCGAGAGAUCCGUGGUUCGAGUCCCGGCGAGAGGC
rnacentral:tRNA from 1 species